CAGCGGAAACACGAGUGCAGCGAGACCACCAGUAUAGCGGGACAACAGUGCAGAAGGACCACCAGUGCAGUGGGACCACCAGUGCAGGCCCACCACCUGGGCAGCCUUUUGUUUAUCAUGUCCGUGACUCAAUAUCAGGAAUAGUUAACCAGUGCUUUGCUCUUUGGGGAUUACACAGCUAACCAUCCAUAACCCACAUGUGGUUGUUUUCUCUGCAAAUCAGUUCCAGCACGAUUUUUGAAAGGAAGGAGUGACUAUGACAGAAGAGAUGGAGUGGGUGGCGCUGAAGGGAAGGCCAGCAGGCAUGCCUGUGUCGAUAGAGGACACUGGAUGUGUUCUUACAUUCCACCACUGUAAUAAUUACCAUGUUAUUAUGAUUGGUCUACCUUUCAUUUUGUAUUCCUGGUUUUAAUUACUAGAAUACUGUUUCUUUCUUGUAAGCUAUUAUUUCCCCCUUGUGUGGAGGUUUUUUUUUUUCCAAUAUAUGCUCAUGAAAUUCGAUUUUCAUUUUUCUGCAUAUGUCAUUCAUAUUACAUGCAUUGAACAGUUUCUGUUCCAAAGAUUUUUUUGUUUCAGCCUGAUGUUUAUGUCAUAUCUUGGUAAUUUUCCUCAAAUUCCUGAUGAAUUAAAAAAAUGUAUCCUCCUAUCUAUAAAACAUGCUCAGAAUUGCGCACUAUCUGUUGCAUGAGUUGGGUUCCCCCACACAAGCCACAUUAUUAUCUAUUCACAGUGAACACAAGUAAUGGUUGCAGGAGUCUGGGCAUGGUGACUCAGAGCCACACUGGCUAGGUUUCAAGGUCUUUGCCCAUGGUGGCACUUUACACUGCCCUGUAUGAUAAGGCUCCUGACUUUGAUCCUUAUGAUUAGAUGCCAUAUGCCAAAAUGCCCUUAGAGAUGUGCUUAUAAGACAGUUUCCUUCCCACUUAUUUUUCUUUUUACACACAUAUACAUUUUAAAUCUAGGUCCCACCCAUGAGAGAAAACACUGCUCUCCUUAGUCUGGCUUAUUUUAUUUAACUUGAUUUCUAGUCAUGUCCAACCAUCAUGACGUCAUGAUUCCUUUUUUUUUUUUUUUUAAAUAUAUAUGAUUACAUGGUGUCUGUCUUCAGACACACCAGAAGAGGGCAUGGGAUCCCAUACAGAUGGUUGUGAGCCACCAAGUGGUUGCUGAGAAUUGAACUCAGGACCUCUGGAAGAACAGUCAGGGCUCUAAGCUGCUGAGCUAUCUCUCCAGUCCCAAUUCCAUUUUUCCUUGUGACUGUAUAAAAUUCCAUUGUCUGCUGUUUGAUGUUUUCCUUGUCAGGUCAUCUAUUGACGGACAUCUAGCCUUUCCCUUUUUUUUUUUUCCCUUUCCCUGGCCACCAUGAAUAUAUGCAGCAAUAAACAAGACUCUAUGUUUAAUAAUAAAUAAUAACAAG
rnacentral:lncRNA from 1 species